AAGAAGCGAAAGUGACGGUACCUGCAGAAGAAGUACCGGCUAACUACGUGCCAGCAGCCGCGGUAAUACGUAGGGUACGAGCGUUGUCCGGAAUUAUUGGGCGUAAAGAGCUCGUAGGUGGUUGGUCACGUCUGCUGUGGAAACGCAACGCUUAACGUUGCGCGUGCAGUGGGUACGGGCUGACUAGAGUGCAGUAGGGGAGUCUGGAAUUCCUGGUGUAGCGGUGAAAUGCGCAGAUAUCAGGAGGAACACCGGUGGCGAAGGCGGGACUCUGGGCUGUAACUGACACUGAGGAGCGAAAGCAUGGGGAGCGAACAGGAUUAGAUACCCUGGUAGUCCAUGCCGUAAACGUUGGGCACUAGGUGUGGGGGACAUUCCACGUUCUCCGCGCCGUAGCUAACGCAUUAAGUGCCCCGCCUGGGGAGUACGGUCGCAAGGCUAAAACUCAAAGGAAUUGACGGGGGCCCGCACAAGCGGCGGAGCAUGCGGAUUAAUUCGAUGCAACGCGAAGAACCUUACCAAGGCUUGACAUACACUGGACCGUUCUGGAAACAGUUCUUCUCUUUGGAGCUGGUGUACAGGUGGUGCAUGGUUGUCGUCAGCUCGUGUCGUGAGAUGUUGGGUUAAGUCCCGCAACGAGCGCAACCCUCGUUCUAUGUUGCCAGCACGUGAUGGUGGGAACUCAUAGGAGACUGCCGGGGUCAACUCGGAGGAAGGUGGGGAUGACGUCAAAUCAUCAUGCCCUUUAUGUCUUGGGCUUCACGCAUGCUACAAUGGCUGGUACAGAGAGAGGCGAACCCGUGAGGGUAAGCGAAUCCCUUAAAGCCAGUCUCAGUUCGGAUCGUAGUCUGCAAUUCGACUACGUGAAGUC
rnacentral:rRNA from 1 species